GUGCAGCAGUCGAGAAUAGUCUACAAUGGACGAAAGUCUGAUAGUGCGACGCCGUGUGUGCGAUUAAUUCCUUCGGGAUGUAAAGCACUUUUCUAUGAGAUAAAAGCUCUUUAGGUUAAUAGCUUAUUGAGACGGGAUAUUAUUAUAGGAAUAAGCUCCGGCUAACUCCGUGCCAGCAGCCGCGGUAACACGGAAGGAGCGAGCGUUGUCCGGAUUUACUAGGCGUAAAGGGCUAGUAGGCGACUAAUUAAGUUAUAUGUUAAAUCCCACGGCUCAACUGUGGUCCUGCAUGUAAUACUGGUUAGAUAGAGUACUGUAGAGGAAGGCAGAAUUCCUGGAGUAGCGGUGGAAUGGCGCAGAUAUCAGGAAGAAUACCAAAAGCGGAGGCAGCCUUCUGGGCAGUUACUGACGCUAGAAUAGCGAAGGUGUGGGUAGCGAACAGGAUUAGA
rnacentral:rRNA from 1 species